rnacentral:rRNA from 1 species
GAUGAACGCUGGCGGCGUGCCUAACACAUGCAAGUCGAGCGAACAGACGAGGAGCUUGCUCCUCGGACGUUAGCGGCGGACGGGUGAGUAACACGUGGAUAACCUACCUAUAAGACUGGGAUAACUUCGGGAAACCGGAGCUAAUACCGGAUAAGAUAGUGAACGGCAGGGUUCAAUAGUGAAAGACGGUUUUGCUGGGACGUAGAGAUGGAUCCGCGCCGCAUUAGCUAGUUGGUAAGGUAACGGCUUACCAAGGCAACGAUGCGUAGCCGACCUGAGAGGGUGAUCGGCCACACCGGAACUGAGACACGGUCCAGACUCCUACGGGAGGCAGCAGUAGGGAAUCUUCCGCAAUGGGCGCAAGCCUGACGGAGCCACGCCGCGUGCGUGAUGAAGGUCUUCGGAUCGUAAAACUCUGUUAUUAGGGAAGAACACAUGUGUAAGUAACUAUGCACGUCUUGACGGUACCUAAUCAGAAAGCCCCGGCUAACUACGUG